GCGGGAAUGGCGAAAUUGGCAGACGCACCAGACUUAGGAUCUGGCGCCUCACGGCGUGGAGGUUCAAGUCCUCUUUCCCGCACCA
rnacentral:tRNA from 2 species